AUCAAGUUCCUGCAGAGCCCUUCUGCUGCGAGGUGUGCUGAGCACUGUUCCGGCUCCCUCCUCCCAAUCCAGGCUCAGAUGGACCUGCACCCCUGAGGAUGUGCGUUUGGGACCACGGGUCCCCUGCACACCUGGAGACCCGAGCUGUGGGCAUUGAUGUGAGUCAAUUAGCAGAAGACUGCAGAUGUCUGGGCUGCUUUUAAUGCAACGUAAAGAGAGUGCAAAAAAUUCACUGAUGAAUAGCCAUUCCGCCUCCAGCUUCAGGUGAUGAAAAACAUCUUUUAAAAUCCAGCAAAGCUGUUUUCCAAAUGGAAAUGCUGAAUCAAGAAAACCAAUAAUGUUCUCCAAGGUUGGAUUAGUUUAUCGGUCCCAUUUACGGAUGAUGAUAGCUAAUUUUUUUUUGCCAUUGACACAGGAUGUUCAGUACUGGUGAUACUACUUGGACUUUUAUUUCAGAGUAGAACAUACCGAAAUGCUUUGAAUAUCUGUAAUAAACCAGAUUAUGAGUCAAAAUAACUUACUGUUGACAUUUUAAGCUUGCCCUAACCCAAGGUGAUAUAUCUAAGUAGAGUAAGUUGUUAAAUUUGUAAGAAAAUACCUUGUGUUACUGUUCUGCACAAAAAAGGAGGAGGAAAUUCCAAUUCUUUUCCUGAGGGUUUAGAGAUAUGUUGACUUUUUGGCAUUUCUGACAAGAGGGGAACUAUCAGUUUUGGACACUGGAAAUUAGUGUCAUUGCUUGUGAAAGUUUGUUUAAUUUUAUGUUGAAUUUGGUUCAGAAUGGGGGUUUUAAUACUGCCUUCAUAUUUCAGUCAUAGAGUCUAGCAAAAGACCUUCUACCUUCUGUUUAGAAGCUAUUUCAGUCUGUCUUUGAUAAUCCAAAUUGGAUUCACCUACCUGAAGACAAAAUUUCCUUUACCAUAAAUGAAAUGUGCAAAUUAGCUAUGAUAAUUAGACUUGACCCAGUUACUGGGUUUGGGAUCAUCCUUCUAUCUUGCCUGGAGCUGAAUGUCCCUACAGAAAGCAAAUCUCUCUGUUAAGACAGAGUUAAAAACCUUUCAUCAGGGACACAAAAGAAAAUGUAACCAAAGCAGUAUUCCAUCAGCUGACGUUGUCUGUUACCUUUUUUUUCUGCACAGUGAAUUAUUGAUUAUGAGUGAUUUAGAGUUCUCUUGCUUACCUACAUGACACCUCUACCUCUCCCCACCUGCCACAUACACACUCUAGCACAGCAAGAACAUUUAUUACAAAUAGUGAUGUCAGAUCCUUAAACUUUCAUAGUAAGUAAGUAUCAGCUAUGUAUCAAAUGGCUCACCUAAUCCUUCCUCAUCCAUCUUAAAACUUCAAUGAGUUGCAGGGUAUCAAUGGCUGAGUAUUACCACCUUUGCUUAGAGAUAAGCCCCAUGUACACAGCAGCAUAAUAAUGCCUGAUGGGAAACGUGUGCCCAAGAAAACUCCCAUAGCAAGAUUGUAUUGUACUAAGAAAUUCUGUUUGUUGCUUGGCUGGCUUCAGAGAUGUUAUUUAUCCCUUUCGAGCUUCCAAGUUAAAAUGCAGGGGCUUAUCUGCUGGGAGCGUAAUCUUGUACAAAACCAGAGAGACAUUUAGAUUCUGUUGAACUCCCUGAGAGUUACUAUCAUGUUCCUAGCACAGACUUUGGGAUUAGCUGACAUCUGCUCCCUGGACUUGCAUUUUUGCAGGGUUUCUGGUGAAUAGAAGAAAGAAAUAAAAUAUUUCUGUGC
ensembl:lncRNA